AUGCUGUCAAUACAUAGAUAUUCUACAUUCCAGUGUUUACAUUAUGUUUGAACUGAACUAACAGACAUGAUCCACAGAUCCAGCUAACACAACAACACAUAAUGAAGUCUGUAUGGCUUCUGGAUCAAUAUUCAGAGAGAUUAUAAAUAUAUUUAAGAUUUCAGCGUUUGCUGCUCCAACUGUGAUUCUUCUUCAGAUCAUCUGUGCAAGAAGAGCUGGGAGGAAGGACUCACACCACCCAGAGGAAAUAGAGAUGCCUACAGUAUUAGAAUAAAACACACUAUACAAAUAAUAGGCAAGAUUUAUCUUCAUGUUUGUGAAUAUUACCAUUUUCCAGUGCUCCAUAUAAAAAUGAUGUAAACAAAAACAUGUUACCUUAAUAAACAUGAAUGGUUAUUUCCACACACAGAAAUAUUAAUAUAAAUACGGUGAUUUCACCUUUCUAACUUUAUUUCCUCUAAUCUUGAAACUUUUUACAGAAGGCUUUUUAAAUGUUUCAAAAGUCAAUUUUAAAUGAUGACAUGAGUCUGUUAAUUAUCAUGACAUAUGUACAGA